AUACGUAGGGGGCAAACGUUGUCCGGAUUUACUGGGUGUAAAGGGUGCUCAGGCGGUUUUUGUAAGUCAGAAGUGAAAUCCUAGAGCUUAACUCUGGAACUGCUUUUGAUACUGCAAGGCUUGAAUGUGGAAGAGGAGGAUGGAAUUUCUGGUGUAGCAGUGAAAUGCGUAGAUAUCAGAAAGAACACCAGUGGCGAAGGCGGUCCUCUGGUCCACUAUUGACGCUAAAGCACGAAAGCGUGGGGAGC
rnacentral:rRNA from 1 species